UACGUAGGUGGCAAGCGUUGUCCGGAUUUACUGGGCGUAAAGGGCGUGCAGGCGGUCUGUUAAGUUCAGGGUGAAAGCUCCCGGCUCAACUGGGAGAGGUCCUUGGAUACUGGCAGACUUGAGGAGGGUAGAGGAGAGUGGAAUUCCCGGUGUAGUGGUGAUAUGCGUAGAUAUCGGGAGGAACACCAGUGGCGAAGGCGGCCCUCUGGGCCCUACCUGACGCUGGAGAACGCGGAAGCGUGGGGAGCGAACAGGG
rnacentral:rRNA from 1 species